rnacentral:rRNA from 1 species
GACGAACGCUGGCGGCGUGCCUAAUACAUGCAAGUUGAGCGAUGAAGAUUGGUGCUUGCACCAAUUUGAAGAGCAGCGAACGGGUGAGUAACGAGUGGGGAAUCUGCCUUUGAGCGGGGGACAACAUCUGGAAACGAAUGCUAAUACCGCAUAAUAACUUUAAACAUAAGUUUUAAGUUUGAAAGAUGCAAUUGCAUCACUUGAAGAUGGUCCCGCGUUGUAUUAGCUAGUUGGUGAGGUAAAGGCUCACCAAGGCGAGGAUACAUAGCCGACCUGAGAGGGUGAGCGGCCACAUUGGGACUGAGACACGGCCCAAACUCCUACGGGAGGCAGCAGGAGGGAAUCUUCGGCAAUGGACGAAAGUCUGACCGAGCAACGCCGCGUGAGUGAAGAAGGGUUUCGGAUCGUAAAACUCUGUUGGUAGAGAAGAACGUUGGUGAGAGUGGAAAGCUCAUCAAGUGACGGUAACUACCCAGAAAGGGACGGCUAACUACGUG